UCAGUGACAUUUUCACUGCCAUAAUGUGCACAUUAUUGCCACGUAUAUUUAACAUAACUAAACUUUGGAGUUUUAUUUGUUCAUUUGAUUGUUAUAUAUUUUAGGUCAUAGGCCUAAAUUUACAACGGACAUUUAUCAGUAGCCCCUGCAAGGAAACCCCGCUGCUUCAGAACAGGUCGCCAUGCGCCACGGCUGAUGAAGCCGAAUCUUAAUUUUGAAUAAAGACUUCUUAAUUGAGGUACAAAGUCAACCACAAACAUGCCUUGAAGGCGAGAGAUUAACUUUGAUGGAAGAGAUGAAGAAAAAGAAGAGAGACAGGAAAAUGAUAGAUUCUCCAAUGGAGAGCUCCUUUGCCUUGCGAAGGAAGGAGAUUGGUCAUGGUAAACUUCUUGUGUCUGAAAUCAAAGACAGAUGGCCUGCGGUGUUCUUAAAAAACAGACUUCAAAACAGACGAGACAAGCAGCUGCUUUGCUUGGACUCCCAUAUUACUUAAAGGAGGAUUCCAGCAGUUUCAUCCGUGUCUGUGAGGUAUGAGAGCUGAUUUCAAUAUGACAUGGGGAACUUUGGUCACAGUUAAAGAGAGAGCUCACACAAAAAUUACAUUUGUUCUAAAUCUGCAUGAAGUACUUUCUUUUGAAGAACAUAAAGGAAGAUAUUUUGAAAAGUGUUGGUAACGAAACAAUUGGUGGUCACUGUUGACUUCCAAAUAUUAUGGGGAACAGGUUGCCAACAUUCUUUAAAAUCAGAGA